AGGACGAACGCUGGCGGCGUGCUUAACACAUGCAAGUCGAACGGAAAGGCCCGCUUGCGGGUACUCGAGUGGCGAACGGGUGAGUAACACGUGGGCAACCUGCCCUCAGCUUCGGGAUAACACUUGGAAACAGGUGCUAAUACCGGAUAAUAACCUUUCAUCGCAUGGUGUGGGGUUCAAAGUUUUUCGGCUGGGGAUGGGCCCGCGGCCUAUCAGCUUGUUGGUGGGGUAAUGGCCUACCAAGGCGACGACGGGUAGCCGGCCUGAGAGGGCGACCGGCCACACUGGGACUGAGACACGGCCCAGACUCCUACGGGAGGCAGCAGUGGGGAAUAUUGCGCAAUGGGCGGAAGCCUGACGCAGCGACGCCGCGUGAGGGAUGACGGCCUUCGGGUUGUAAACCGUCUUUCAGCUCUGUACGAAGCGCAAGUGACGGUAGGAGCGAGAAGAAGCACCGGCAACUACGCGCCAGCAGCCGC
rnacentral:rRNA from 1 species